CACGUAGGGGGCGAGCGUUGUCCGGAUUUAUUGGGCGUAAAGAGCUCGUAGGUGGCUCGGUAAGUCGGGUGUGAAAUUUCGAGGCUCAACCUCGAGACGCCACCUGAUACUGCUGUGGCUUGAGUCCGGUAGGGGAGCGUGGAAUUCCUGGUGUAGCGGUGAAAUGCGCAGAUAUCAGGAGGAACACCAGCGGCGAAGGCGGCGCUCUGGGCCGGUACUGACACUGAGGAGCGAAAGCGUGGGGAUCAAACAGG
rnacentral:rRNA from 1 species